rnacentral:rRNA from 1 species
GACGAACGCUGGCGGCGUGCCUAAUACAUGCAAGUAGAACGCUGAAGAGAGGAGCUUGCUCUUCUUGGAGGAGUUGCGAACGGGUGAGUAACGCGUAGGUAACCUGCCUUGUAGCGGGGGAUAACUAUUGGAAACGAUAGCUAAUACCGCAUAACAAUGGAUGACACAUGUCAUUUAUUUGAAAGGGGCAAUUGCUCCACUACAAGAUGGACCUGCGUUGUAUUAGCUAGUAGGUGAGGUAACGGCUCACCUAGGCGACGAUACAUAGCCGACCUGAGAGGGUGAUCGGCCACACUGGGACUGAGACACGGCCCAGACUCCUACGGGAGGCAGCAGUAGGGAAUCUUCGGCAAUGGGGGCAACCCUGACCGAGCAACGCCGCGUGAGUGAAGAAGGUUUUCGGAUCGUAAAGCUCUGUUGUAAGUCAAGAACGAGUGUGAGAGUGGAAAAUUCACACUGUGACGGUAGCUUACCAGAAAGGGACGGCUAACUACGUGCCAGCAGCCGCGGUAAUACGUAGGUCCCGAGCGUUGUCCGGAUUUAUUGGGCGUAAAGCGAGCGCAGGCGGUUUGAUAAGUCUGAAGUUAAAGGCUGUGGCUCAACCAUAGUUCGCUUUGGAAACUGUCAAACUUGAGUGCAGAAGGGGAGAGUGGAAUUCCAUGUGUAGCGGUGAAAUGCGUAGAUAUAUGGAGGAACACCGGUGGCGAAAGCGGCUCUCUGGUCUGUAACUGACGCUGAGGCUCGAAAGCGUGGGGAGCGAACAGGAUUAGAUACCCUGGUAGUCCACGCCGUAAACGAUGAGUGCUAGGUGUUGGAUCCUUUCCGGGAUUCAGUGCCGCAGCUAACGCAUUAAGCACUCCGCCUGGGGAGUACGACCGCAAGGUUGAAACUCAAAGGAAUUGACGGGGGCCCGCACAAGCGGUGGAGCAUGUGGUUUAAUUCGAAGCAACGCGAAGAACCUUACCAGGUCUUGACAUCCCGAUGCUAUUUCUAGAGAUAGAAAGUUACUUCGGUACAUCGGUGACAGGUGGUGCAUGGUUGUCGUCAGCUCGUGUCGUGAGAUGUUGGGUUAAGUCCCGCAACGAGCGCAACCCCUAUUGUUAGUUGCCAUCAUUCAGUUGGGCACUCUAGCGAGACUGCCGGUAAUAAACCGGAGGAAGGUGGGGAUGACGUCAAAUCAUCAUGCCCCUUAUGACCUGGGCUACACACGUGCUACAAUGGUUGGUACAACGAGUUGCGAGUCGGUGACGGCAAGCUAAUCUCUUAAAGCCAAUCUCAGUUCGGAUUGUAGGCUGCAACUCGCCUACAUGAAGUCGGAAUCGCUAGUAAUCGCGGAUCAGCACGCCGCGGUGAAUACGUUCCCGGGCCU